UACGGAGGGUGCGAGCGUUGUCCGGAAUCACUGGGCGUAAAGGGCGCGUAGGCGGCCUGAUAAGUAGGGGGUGAAAUCCUGCGGCUUAACCGCAGGGCUGCCUUCUAAACUGUCAGGCUGGAGCACAGUAGAGGCAGGUGGAAUUCCCGGUGUAGCGGUGGAAUGCGCAGAUAUCAGGAGGAACACCAAUAGCGAAGGCAGCUCGCUGGGACGUUUACUGACACUGAGGCGCGAAAGCGUGGGGAGCGAACAGG
rnacentral:rRNA from 1 species